GGGCCCGUGGCCUAGCCAGGAUAAGGCGGCAAGCGAAAUCGCCCGCAAGCCUUCUAUCGCCUGGAGGAAAGCUGCACAUCGCGGGUUCGAAUCCCGCCGGGCCCG
rnacentral:tRNA from 1 species